CAGCUCCAACAGUGUAUGCUAAAGUUGUUGCGGUUGAAAAGCUCGUAGUUGGAUUUUGGGCGAGCGCAGCCGGUCCGUCGCAGGGCGUGUUACUGGUUGCGUUCGCCUCACCUUCGGUUCUCCGUCGGUGCUCUUGACUGAGUGUCGGCGGUGGCCGAUAAGUUUACUUUGAAAAAAUUAGAGUGUUCAAAGCAGGCUGCUCGCCUGCAUAGUGUUGCAUGGAAUAAUGGAAUAGGACCUCGGUUCUAUUUUGUUGGUUUUCGGAGCACGAGGUAAUGAUUAAGAGGGACAGACGGGGGCGUCCGUACUCUGCCGUUAGAGGUGAAAUUCUUGGAUCGGCGGAAGACGAACUACUGCGAAAGCAUUCGCCAAGAAUGUUUUCUUUAAUCAAGAGCGAAAGUCAGAGGUUCGAAGACGAUCAGAUACCGUCCUAGUUCUGACUAUAAACGAUGCCAACUAGCGAUCGGGAGGCGUUACCAUGACGACCUUUCCGGCAGCUUCCGGGAAACCAAAGUCUUUGGGUUCCGGGGGAAGUAUGGUUGCAAAGCUGAAACUUAAAGGAAUUGACGGAAGGGCACCACCAGGAGUGGAGCCUGCGGCUUAAUUUGACUCAACACGGGGAAACUCACCCGGCCCGGACACAGGUAGGAUUGACAGAUUGAGAGCUCUUUCUUGAUUCU
rnacentral:rRNA from 1 species